CGGUGAGGAUGGCGCAGGCGCGGGCGCGCCAUUGCUUACGGUAUUGGUGAUAGUGAUGGGACGGCGGUUAGAAGUUUCCCUUCUUCGU
rnacentral:tRNA from 1 species